rnacentral:rRNA from 1 species
ACGAACGCUGGCGGCGUGGAUAAGACAUGCAAGUCGAACGAGAGAAUUGCUAGCUUGCUAAUAAUUCUCUAGUGGCGCACGGGUGAGUAACACGUGAGUAACCUGCCCCCGAGAGCGGGAUAGCCCUGGGAAACUGGGAUUAAUACCGCAUAGUAUCGAAAGAUUAAAGCAGCAAUGCGCUUGGGGAUGGGCUCGCGGCCUAUUAGUUAGUUGGUGAGGUAACGGCUCACCAAGGCGAUGACGGGUAGCCGGUCUGAGAGGAUGUCCGGCCACACUGGAACUGAGACACGGUCCAGACACCUACGGGUGGCAGCAGUCGAGAAUCAUUCACAAUGGGGGAAACCCUGAUGGUGCGACGCCGCGUGGGGGAAUGAAGGUCUUCGGAUUGUAAACCCCUGUCAUGUGGGAGCAAAUUAAAAAGAUAGUACCACAAGAGGAAGAGACGGCUAACUCUGUGCCAGCAGCCGCGGUAAUACAGAGGUCUCAAGCGUUGUUCGGAAUCACUGGGCGUAAAGCGUGCGUAGGCUGUUUCGUAAGUCGUGUGUGAAAGGCGCGGGCUCAACCCGCGGACGGCACAUGAUACUGCGAGACUAGAGUAAUGGAGGGGGAACCGGAAUUCUCGGUGUAGCAGUGAAAUGCGUAGAUAUCGAGAGGAACACUCGUGGCGAAGGCGGGUUCCUGGACAUUAACUGACGCUGAGGCACGAAGGCCAGGGGAGCGAAAGGGAUUAGAUACCCCUGUAGUCCUGGCAGUAAACGGUGCACGCUUGGUGUGCGGGGAAUCGACCCCCUGCGUGCCGGAGCUAACGCGUUAAGCGUGCCGCCUGGGGAGUACGGUCGCAAGAUUAAAACUCAAAGAAAUUGACGGGGACCCGCACAAGCGGUGGAGUAUGUGGCUUAAUUCGAUGCAACGCGAAGAACCUUACCUGGGCUUGACAUGUAAUGAACAACAUGUGAAAGCAUGCGACUCUUCGGAGGCGUUACACAGGUGCUGCAUGGCCGUCGUCAGCUCGUGUCGUGAGAUGUUGGGUUAAGUCCCGCAACGAGCGCAACCCCUGUACUUAGUUGCCAGCAUGUAGAGAUGGGAACUCUAAGUAGACUGCCGCGAAUAACGCGGAGGAAGGUGGGGAUGACGUCAAAUCAUCAUGCCCUUUAUGUCUUGGGCUACACACGUACUACAAUGGAUGUUACAAAGGGAAGCGACCCCGUGAGGGCAAGCAAAUCUCAAAAAUAACGUCUCAGUUCGGAUUGUAGUCUGCAACUCGACUACAUGAAGCUGGAAUCGCUAGUAAUCGCGAAUCAGAAUGUCGCGGUGAAUACGUUCCCGGGCCUUGUACACACCGCCCGUCACACCAUGAGAGUUGGGGAUACCCGAAGCCUGUGAGCCAACAUAUCUAUGAGGCAGCAGUCGAAGGUAGAAUCAAUGAUUGGGGUG